rnacentral:lncRNA from 1 species
CCUCACACUGAGACAACACUGACAGCUUUUCUGCCUGCCUGGGGAUGUUGGAGCAGCCUAAGCAGCUUAUGCAGGGAUCUUCUGGUCUUUUUACCCUCUGGCCAGGUGCAGCUAUGUUGCAGUGAGGCCUGUCACCGGAAGCAAUGGGAUUUUUGGCAUGUUUGAAUGGGGAAUGCAGGAAGGAGAGUGAAAGGCAUCUCCACUUUCCACUGUGUUGGAGCAAUGGAGCCCAGUUUGCAGGAACUCCCAGGAAAAGCCCAUUUGAAGUUUGCAUGCUUCAGCACUGCCAUACAGCAGAAGUGCUGGGCUGAGAUGGCAAAGCUCUACCAGAGCCUCCAGCUUAAACCUAAUGAGGGACAAAAAUUCUUCAUCCGCCACUGCUGUGACCACUUCUCUUCAGUCUGUGUUCUGCAAUUACCACAUUUAAAAGGGACACUGCUUAACACAGUGGGGGUUCAAGUUCAUUGGGAAAUUUUUC